CAACCUAAAUGCCAUCUGUCUCAGUGUCAUUUCCUUUUUUAUCUUAAUUAAAAAUGUUACAGAUGAACAGCAAACAGGAAACCCAGCAAACAUCUUCCCAUGCGAUAUUCAUAGCCUGGUGCGAGGCUCCAGCGAGUGCUAAUCGUACAGACGGUUUGGUGAGUCUGUGUUACAAAGAGAGAUAAGGCCAAAGCAAGAUCUGAGGGGCACUGCCUUUCAUAAAGAACCCCUUCUACACUCAGCACGAAUGCCUGGUGCAGUUAACAGCUUUUCUUGUAUGCCCUCAGACCAGUCACUCUGGGCCUGAUGCGUCAAUUCGGACUUUGUGCCAAAGGCUUUUCCACUUCCCAUUGCCCACCUAGCACCAGACUCCAGGCUAAGCCGUUCUAGCCGAAUAAAGUGCAGCUCUGCCCUGCUGGCUGGGGACAGAGACGGAGGGGCUGGCAUUUGGGAGCACCACGCAGGCUGGAGCACAGCUCUUCCAUUUCCUCACCGCGAAGGCUGCCCCCAGACGCUGCCUCAGCGCACCGACCUGUAUGCUGUGCUCGGCUAUAGGGCUGGCUCCUGAGUGCAGGCCCUGCAGUUGCAGGUCACAGGAAUUCGUCCAUUGGCAGCGCCAACAGAGUUUCAACCAGUUUGCCUGAUAAUUGCCAGGAUCGCCUCUGGAGCCCUUUUAGAAGUCGAUGUCACAGUAGCUAUCCCCCAGUCAUCUGGUACAGAGGCUGACAUCAGCGCUAGGUUACGUACCAUCCCCCAUGGACGGGACGUCCCACCAGGGUUCUUCGCCUGCCCAUGGCUCGGCCACAAGCAUAUCCAUUGGAAGGCUCAGGCUC